rnacentral:tRNA from 1 species
GUUAGCUGUGUUAGUGAACCAGCCUAAUUAUAGGUGGGGUUAGCGGUGGUUGUACCAGUGCUAACA